UGUUCUCAACAGGUGCACUCAGCAAUUACAGACUCUUUGCAACUGCUGUGAAUUUAUCCAACUACAGAGGAUUUGUAAAAACUCAUCCAAUUCAAGAGGACCUAUGGAAACUUCCUUUGGGCCGCAGGCUCCUUUGAUGCCCUCAUGAAAGCUCUGGAUUGUCCCUGCAGGAAGCUUACACAUGCACGUACGUACAAGCCUUGACAUAUCAUUUCAAGGACCCUCUGACAACACAGCCAUAGAUACCCUACCUCCUGCAGAAGACGUGAGGGUUACGGAUGUUCCACGAGAUGAAGGAACUUGCUCCGGAUGAAACCGCUUCUAAGGAGCCUUUUAACCAGGAUGUAAACGCUCACAGCCUACUUCAUUAAAAUGUAAAAAUAUACUAAGUAUGGAAAAUAUAGGAAAGAAACAAAGACCGCUUGACUUCUGGAAAUUGACUCUUAGAGCUCAGCCCUGGUGUUGUUGGGACUGCCUCGCGACCCGCAGCUCAGCCAGGGUGUCGUGCUGUGGGACUCAGCCUCUCGGAAAACCAGCAGCGGACACACCACACCAGCUGUGGUGAGCAGUGAGUAAUGUCCAGGUUUGCCCAA